AAAUUAAAAUGUCAUCAUGGGUCAAGGUUACCAGGUGCCAAGUUCAAAAACCUGUUGUCAACAAAAGGUGAUGGCCACACCAGGGAUGAUCGCAGAGAGAAGCAAUACCUGCAGUUUUACCAACAGAUAUGGAAAGAAUAUGAUAUAGACUCUGUCAUUGUUGCCAUCAGCAAGGAGCAACUGUACAUUUCUAUUAAGAUCUUUCAGCUAAUUUUAUUAUACAGGCAAUAUGCUCUAGUCAUAGGCCAUCAUUUGGAAGAUCAUGGCCUUGUGAUGGAAAUGAUACACCUUAUGUUGGAGUUGGGUUGUACAUGCACUCCAGGAAGUUGAAAAUGGUGGCUAUCCAUUUUCUAUUCUUGUUGCAACAUCAAAUGUAGCACUUUCCUCUUGCACUGCAAUCAUGUUUCAUGAAUCUAUCAAAGGCCUUGGUGAACAAACUGAUCCUUCAGCUGAAGUUGAUGACACAAUGUAUCAAGCAAAUGUGAGGCCAAGUUCAAGCACAGCCAUCCAUACCUCAACGGGGACCACUUCUCCCAGAGCACCGCUUCCCUCAAGAGCGGCAGCUUCUUCAUUACAGUGGCUGCGCCGUCUCCAAGCCUGCCCUCGCAAACCUUUUCCCGGAGACCAAAGCCUGCUGCAUCUCGCUAGAAUUGCCUUCGGUUACGCUUCAAAGCGUCUGCCCGACGGAGCUGCUGCUGUGCGCCGGCCUGUGCCCGGCCCGCGCGGGGCGGCCACGAGCCGAGCGAGCCGGCGUGCUCCCGAGCUCGGCAGAGACAAACGAAAGAGGCUGAAAGAAAAACUCGCAAAAUCUUUGUUGACCCUUCGUAGUGAGGAUGCUGGUGGGACCCCAUCUCUGGAUUUAGGAAAUAGCCUGCCUUUAGAAAAUAGUUACUCCUGAGCUUUCCAGACGCGGCUCAGGAUGAGGCGGGAGCCCCGUCCCGGCUUUGGGAAGCCCCCGAGGUCUGACCCGGCUCUUCGCUGGCGCUCCUGGCCUGCCGGCACACCGGCUCCCCGAGGCAGGGUUAUCGCCUGUUCGCGCGGCGCUUGGAUG
rnacentral:lncRNA from 1 species